CUUACAGAGUUUAUUGGCAUUCUGUCCACCUCCAAUCAUGGAAACAAAAAAACCCUUGUCUUUUUGCUCUCUGAUCUCAUCUUUCAUGGAGGUGGGCAAACUGCCAACUGAGCUCUGUUGG
rnacentral:pre_miRNA from 12 species